AUUGAACGCUGGCGGCAGGCCUAACACAUGCAAGUCGAACGAGUGGCGGACGUGUGAAUAAUGUCUGGGACACUGCCUGAGGGGGGGGGAUAACUACUGGAAACGAUAGCUAAUACCGCAUACCCGCAGAUGCGCCCAGAUGGGAUUAGCUAGUUGGUGGGGUAACGGCUCACCAAGGCGACGAUCCCUAGCUGGUCUGAGAGGAUGACCAGCCACACUGGGACUGAGACACGGUCCAGACUCCUACGGGAGGCAGCAGUGGGGAAUAUUGCACAAUGGGCGCAAGCCUGAUGCAGCCAUGCCGCGUGUAUGAAGAAGGCCUUAGGGUUGUAAAGUACUUUCAGCGGGGAGGCGUUACCCGCAGAAGAAGCACCGGCUAACUCCGUGCCAGCAGCCGCGGUAAUUC
rnacentral:rRNA from 1 species